AGAGCACAGGGUCAAUGCGCUGCCGUCGCAGGUGCCGAUGUGCCAGCGGGGAGGCCCGGCGCAACAGUGCAAAAAAGAUUUCUCCAUCCAGCUGAAUGGCCUCCUGGAGGUGGGACGAGCCAUCAGAUCAACCUCACACCUUGACCAUCACACCACACACCUCCAUCCAGCUUCCUAAUCCUGCCUAUCAAGUUUAAGCCAAAGACUCAGACUAUAAUAUAAGCUUUAU